GCGGCGGACAAUCCGCCCCAAGUGUAUAAUGCGGCUCCGAAAGAAACGGUUCCAAGCCCGUGAAAACGCAGAGGAUACA
rnacentral:ribozyme from 1 species